AAUUUGUUAAUACUUUUUCCAUUACUGUCUUUACAAUUUGCUCUCCAGUAUAUGCUUGGGUAAUCUUCUUUUUGAGAAAUGUGAAACUUGAAUCUCAUGACCCAAUUUCAGUUGUAACCAGUUCCAGAAGUAAAGAGAGCCUAUGGUAUGGCUAUGUGCAAGCAAAAGUCUUAAGACUUGCAUCUAAAAAUAGAUAAUGAACCUCAAGUGCGAAUUUGAUUUGUUGAAGUGCAAUUCUGGUUUGGUAUUGCGAUGAUCUUUUUGUAGAAUUUAGUUUCCUGACUCCGUUGAUGUUGGAAUAGAUUGAGUUUGAAUUUCUGGCUCGUCUUGUUGCACCUUUGUUCAAAUUAUAAUCAUGUUACAUGGGUAAGUAAGAUCAGGUGCUGGAAGCAGAAUCCUACAGCUCCACCAGUAUGAGAGAUGAUGUCAGUGAAGUAUCUUAACAGGAGAUGUGAGAUUUUUUUGCUACAGUGCAAGAGGAUGUUUUGUGAUACCCAUCAGCAACAUAUAUUAAAGAUAAACAUGUGUAGCAUUAGAAAACUAAACAUACGAAACUCUUGUGGUUAGGCACUUAGCAUAAGUAUAACAAAUUCGUAACAGUGCACUCCAAAUUAGGAGGGCAGCUAGAUGAAAUCAUUCUGACAAUUGGAGAAAUUUCCUCUCCUAGGCAACAAGUUGGACAUGGUUGAUAUUUAUUUGUCCUGCCUAUGCAGAAUGUAUGAAUUUAGAUGUAUAAAUAGUCAAAAUGUGGCGAUUUUUUAAUUUUCAUUUUCUCAUUAUAAUAAAAGGAAGAGGAGUUAACUUCAUUUUCACCAACUCCCAAUUAUGAAUUUCUCUCUUUGAUUCAAACAUGCACCAUGAACUUCAUUGAACUGUUGCUUUGUUAAUAUCCUAACCUUAUUUUAGGAUACUCCUAAAAGUUUCAGUAAUAGGUAAACAUGAACAAGUAGAUAUGAAACUGGUAGGCCCCUUGAAUGAUCUUGUUCUGGGGGCUCCUCAUGGCCAAAAUGCUAAGGAUAAGGUUGGAAUAUUGAAGUGCAGAGAAAAGCUGAAUGGUUGAGAGCACAUCAUAACACAAGUCAGUACUCAUUGCUUAGAUGAUGAAGACACCAUUUAUAGUAUUGAGAUUUCCAGUGGCAGGAAGUUUGCAUGUCCUGCAGUAAAGGUCUUGCCUUCAAUGAGUUGAAGUAUGCUUUCAGUUAUAAAUAUCCCUUGGUCAAACAAGUGUUGUAAAAAUGUUGAACAAAUAACCAUUAUUCCAUGUGAUAAUGAAGCCCUAUCCUGCAUUAAAAGUGUAAUAGGAUGAAUGUGAAUUAUAUGAUUUAUCAGAUCUAGUUAACAUGCUAUCUACUCAUUUGUUAUCAUUGUCAUAAAGUUUUUCUUCCUUUGCUGAAGGCACUGUUGAAUAACCAAACAGUAAAAAUGUGCAACUAAGACAUGCUUAUAAAUUUGUUCAUUCUGUCAUUUAAUUUUCCUUGAUUUAGUAUCUUAAUCUUCUAAAUCUCGAGUUCCAAAUUUUUUCUUGUGUUCUUUUUUCAAAAAUAUUUAAUUAAUCUAGCAUGUAGAGUUCAAUUAUAUGUAAAGAAUUUGCAACUUCUAAUCAAGAGUGACUUUUUUUUUUUUUUUUUUUUUUUUUUCAAACAUCUAUUCGAUAG
rnacentral:lncRNA from 1 species